rnacentral:lncRNA from 1 species
CGCAAAGAGGCGUGUUCUUUCAUAGGCCGAGUGUCGUCUCUUUUUUUUUCAUUCUUUGGCAGAGGGAUGGGCCAGGGAGGCCUCACGCCCUCCAUCCACCAGCAACGUAUCUCUCUUCUCUUUUUUUUCUCAAACAGAAAGAAGAUCGCGCAUUGACGACGGCGAGGCGCUGCGUCAUUGGCGACGACGCGGAUUUCUUGUGAUCGGUGCGCGCAGCCUGGUUGUCCACGAGAUGCCCCGUGCGGACUCUGGCGCGCCAACUCGUCGCCAUUGGGAAUGCGUCGUCAUUUGAGAGGCACGCACGUGUCCGUGCGGGAUCGAGCGUCUUCUUUUCGGCUGCGCCAGAGGCGAUAAAAACCCGCGCGCGCGUGCACGACCGGGCACGAUACCACCGCGCCCCACCCCACCCAAAAAAGAAGAAGGGACAAAGACGAAGAAACAGCAACGGCCUUUUUGGGCGGUCGCAAGGCCGACCGGUGGGUGGACGCUCGCGUCUUGGUGUCUUUCUUUGUUCGUCUCACUUUGCCUUGUGCAAGAGAAAAAAAAACGGAGACGACCCAAGAGACCAAAUCGCCGCGGGCGCCCAACGACAGCGCGGCGUAUUCUGUUUACGGAAGGAUUUAAAAAAAAAGAGAAAACAAUGCCAACA